rfam:Ovis aries breed Texel chromosome 1, whole genome shotgun sequence.
UCCCUGGUGGCUUAGAGGUUAAAGCGUCUGCCUGCAAUGUGGUAGACCCGGGUUUGAUCCCUGGGUCGGGAA